GUUUAGCCCUGAUAGAAACGGCAUCCUUUUUAUUGCCCUAUUAAAUAAGCCUAUAGUCUAAAAUGAAAUUGCCACAGUUUACAAGAUAGUAAACUAUGGCAAUGUGUAAUAAAAAGAUAUAGUGGAUAGCAGGAAAUAGC
rnacentral:sRNA from 1 species